UUGGAAUUAUAAAUUCGGGAGUUACAGUUAUAUAGUUUAAACCUGUCAAUGUUGACAUUAAUAAUUCAGUUACAGUGUGCUUGUGCGUCUAUGAACAACUCUCUUUCAGGAUGUGGACUUCUUUGAUGAGAAGGUGAAUUCCUUUUGCAUUGUGCAUUAUGUUGCAGAGAUUGUUUUGUUCCUGUGCAACUCUGCUGCUGCUCUAAGAGUGAACUGCCUAACUUAAAUACCAACGCCUAAUUUAAUACCAAUCAAAUCUCCGACUAAGGCUGCGGAGUUCUUUGACAAGAAACUGAAUUUGUGUGUGUUGGGGGGAGGAGGGGGUACAUGCUAGAGGGCAGAUUGACAGACAAUACCCAUAUGGAUGCGGUGAUGAUCCUUGGUGAGCCAUCCGCCUUUAAGGGGCCGUUUGACUGUGAGAUAAAAAAUGAC